GCGGGUAUAGUAUAGCGGUAUUAUGACUGCCUUCCAAGCAGUAGAGAUGGGUUCAAUUCCCAUUACCCGCU
rnacentral:tRNA from 1 species